CUGAUGAAGGCUUUGAAGGCAAAUCUCUUUAUGAGAGCUGGAGUGAGAAAAGUUCCUCACCUGAAUUCAGUGGCGUGCCCAGGAUUAGAAAAUUAGGAUCUGGCAAUGAUUUUGAGGUGUUCUUCCAAAGACUUGGAAUUGCUUCAGGUAGAGCACGUUAUACAAAAGAUUGGG